AUUGAACGCUGGCGGCAUGCCUUACACAUGCAAGUCGAACGGUAACGGGCCUUCGGGUGCCGACGAGUGGCGAACGGGUGAGUAAUGUAUCGGAACGUACCUUUCAGUGGGGGAUAACGUAGCGAAAGUUACGCUAAUACCGCAUAUUCUGUGAGCAGGAAAGCAGGGGAUCGCAAGACCUUGCGCUGAUUGAGCGGCCGAUAUCAGAUUAGCUAGUUGGUGAGGUAAAGGCUCACCAAGGCGACGAUCUGUAGCGGGUCUGAGAGGAUGAUCCGCCACACUGGAACUUAGACACGGUCCAGACUCCUACGGGAGGCAGCAGUGGGGAAUUUUGGACAAUGGGGGCAACCCUGAUCCAGCCAUGCCGCGUGAGUGAAGAAGGCCUUCGGGUUGUAAAGCUCUUUCGGCCGGGAAGAAAUCGUAUGGGUUAAUACCCUGUGUGGAUGACGGUACCGGAAUAAGAAGCACCGGCUAACUACGUGCCAGCAGCCGCCGUAAUAC
rnacentral:rRNA from 1 species